rnacentral:rRNA from 1 species
AGUGAACGCUGGCGGUAGGCCUAACACAUGCAAGUCGAACGGCAGCACAGUAAGAGCUUGCUCUUACGGGUGGCGAGUGGCGGACGGGUGAGGAAUACAUCGGACUCUACUUUUUCGUGGGGGAUAACGUAGGGAAACUCACGCUAAUACCGCAUACGACCUACGGGUGAAAGCAGGGGAUCUUCGGACCUUGCGCGAUUGAAUGCGCCGAUGUCGGAUUAGCUGGUUGGCGGGGUAAAGGCCCACCAAGGCGACGAUCCGUAGCUGGUCUGAGAGGAGGAUAGGCCACACUGGAACGGAGACACGGUCCAGACGACUACGGGAGGCAGCAGUGGGGAAUAUUGGACAAUGGGCGCAAGCAUGAUCCAGCCAUACCGAGUGGGUGAAGAAGGCGUUCGGGUUGCAAAGACCGUUUGUUGGGAAAGAAAAGCAGCAGGUUAAGACGCAGCUGUUCUGACGGUACCCAAAGAAUAAGCACCGGCUAACUUCGUG